AUUAAAGUAUCUCAAUAUGUUUAAAUUCAUCAUUAGAUAGUAAUAAACGUAUUUAUCAUAGUUUGAUUUCUGUGACAAACAGCUGUUACUAUAUAAAUUACGAGCGGCCAUCUUUUUAACCCUCCGAUACUGAGUAGUUAACUUUUUUGCCUAAUGGUUAGAUAUUUUACCAUUGGAUGCUCUUACCACGGAUCAAAAAACGCAUUUUGCUGUUAUUUAACUAAUAGUAAGGAUUUUUUACCAAUAGUUGAGUUAACUACGGAUCAAAAAACCGGCCCUUAGGGCCAGUUUUUUGAUCCGUAGUAAAAAAUGGUUUUACCAUUUGUUACAUUAACUAUAGUUAAAUGAAUAACCAUUGGUAAAAUCGUAAAUGCGUUUUUCAAUGCCUUUUUUAACUAUAGUUAAUCUUAACAAUUUGUCAAUUUGUUGCCAGUGCAAUUAGCAAUGACAUCCCAAAAAAUGUGGUUGUUUUUUGUGGGGAACAUUUAUUUUGUAUGACAACACUAGACAUAUUGAGUGAAUGAAAUCCAUUUUUGCCAUCUUCAUUCGUUAUUUGCGCUUUGAAGAGUUUGAAGUGUCAAAUUAAUUUAAAUAACACGAUAUAAAUAAAGUUGUUUUUCUGUGUUUUAAUACGGUUUACACUUUUUACGAUACUUAAAUAUAUAAAUAACGAUGUCCGCAAACAGCCAACGGUCAAAUAAGGACCAUACUGCUAACUUCACCAAAAAAGAAACUGCCAAACUGGUGAUGCUUCUCAAGGAUUACACAGUCGUAACCUGCAAACAACUGAUCACUGCAGCAAUCUACAAAAAGAUGCAGCUUGGAAAUCUCUGUGACGUUUUCAACUCAGAUGGGUCUAGACACCGACGUGUUAAAUUUAAUAUACAUUUAAUGAAGAUGUAGGCACAUUUUUAUAUUUAUUCUUGUAUAGCUGUGUCCUACAACAAAAGGAAAAAAUCUUUUAACCCUUUGGAAACAAGGAAGCGGAUUAUGAUCCACACGGAUAAAAAAAAUUGAGUUUUUGAAACAAAGACAAAUAAGAGAGGAUGAUUUGUUCAAUUAUGCUAAGGAAGAGCAUCAAAAACAUUUGCUGCACGAAUGAGAGGCCCACCAAAAAUCCAUACUGCAUAAAGAGGAGGUGCACCAAAAAGUGAUGCAGCAGAUGGAAGAAAGGCACAAUAAAUAUAUGUAGCAGCAAAAAAAGUUGCAUCAAAUUGAGGUGAAAUGCAAGAAGAAACAAUUAGAAAAUAUUUAAUUGCUACUUUAGGGUUUCAUGUAAAUGUUGUAAUGUUUUUUUAAUAAAAAUGGUUUGUAUUUAAGUUAUAAUUAAACAGUUUAUUAAUCAA